rnacentral:rRNA from 1 species
GACGAACGCUGGCGGCGUGCUUAACACAUGCAAGUCGAACGGAAAGGCACUGCUUUUGUGGGGUGCUCGAGUGGGGAACGGGUGAGUAACACGUGAGUAACCUGCCCUUGACUUUGGGAUAACUUCAGGAAACUGGGGCUACUACCGGAUAGGAGAUCCUGCUGCAUGGUGGGGGUUGGAAAGUUUCGGCGGUUGGGGAUGGACGCGCGGCUUAUCAGCUUGUUGGUGGGGUAGUGGCUUACCAAGGCUUUGACGGGUAGCCGGCCUGAGAGGGUGACCGGCCACAUGGGGACUGAGAUACGGACCAGACUCCUACGGGAGGCAGCAGUGGGGAAUAUUGCACAAUGGGCGGAAGCCUGAUGCAGCAACGCCGCGGGCGGGAUGACGGCCUUCGGGUUGUAAACCGCUUUCGCCUGUGACGAAGCGUGAGUGACGGUAAUGGGUAAAGAAGCACCGGCUAACUACGUG